CGUCCUACGGGAGGCAGCAGUAGGGAAUCUUCCACAAUGGGCGAAAGCCUGAUGGAGCAACGCCGCCUGGGUGGAGAAGGUCUUCGGAUCGUAAAACCCUGUUGUUAGAGAAGAAAGUGCGUGAGAGUAACUGUUCACGUUUCGACGGUAUCUAACCAGAAAGCCACGGCUAACUACGUGCCAGCAGCCGCGGUAAUACGUAGGUGGCAAGCGUUAUCCGGAUUUAUUGGGCGUAAAGGGAACGCAGGCGGUCUUUUAAGUCUGAUGUGCAAGCCUUCGGCUUAGCCGGAAUAGUG
rnacentral:rRNA from 1 species